rnacentral:tRNA from 1 species
AUUGAUAGGGCUGCAAGUAGCAGGUUAUUGUGAUAUAAUAAUAUUUAAAGAAUAAUCUUUCUUCAAUA